rnacentral:rRNA from 1 species
GAUGAACGCUGGCGGCGUGCCUAAUACAUGCAAGUCGAGCGAACGGACGCGACGCUUGCUGCUCUGAUGUUAGCGGCGCGCGGGUGUGUCACAUGUGGAUACCCUACCUAUAAUACGGGGAUAACUUCGGAAAAGCGGCGAUUAUCCCAUAUGAUCUUUUGAACCGCGUGGUGCAAAGGAGAAAGACGGUGUUGCUGUCACUUCUAGCUGCAUACGGGCUGUAUGAGCUGGUUGGUAAGGUAACGGCUUACCAAGGGAACGAUGCAUAGCCGAGGUGACAGGGUGAUAGGCCACACGGGAAGGGAGACGCGGUCCAGACUCCUACGGGACGCAGCAGUAGGGAAUGGUACGCAAUGGGCGAAAGCCUGACGGAGCGACGCCGCGUGAGUGAUGAAGGUCUUCGGUUCGUAAAGAUGUGUUACGAGUGAAGAACAGCUGUGUAAGGAACCGUGCAGUUCGUGACGGUACUGAAUAAGAAAGCAACGGCUAACUACGUG